GGGACAGGGGCUGCUGCCUCCCUGGAUUUGAGGCAGAGUUAGUUCCGCCUCUCUGACAUCAUGGAAACGGAGGCCCUCGGAAGGCGGAGGUCUGGGCCAAGCACUCCCUCCACCCCCGCCCGGGCUCCCGCCUUUGCAGCUGCCUGCCCCAUGCACCCGGCCUGCUUGAGAGACUUUCUAACUGGAUGAACUCCUUCAUUAAGUGCUCUGCUCCUUAGGGAGAGCCUAAUUUUAGUGUUACCAUGCCAGCAGCCAGCUGGGGUGACAUGUCACAAUCUCUGAGCCAAAGUCAGAAAGAGGAGGGGGGAGAGGAGGGUCCCUUGCUGAACUGCUAAGGCUCAAACAGAAACUUAGAAGCUGCCAGAGCCUCCCUGACCGCUGAGUUUCUGAGCUAGGAAUUAUCAAGUGGUCAAGGGACCCACCGCUAUCAAGGAAGUAUCUGAGGGACACAUUCCAUGCCAAGUGGAACGGUUACUUCUGUCGGUGAGGCACACUGGUGGGACGGGAGGUGGACCUGAGUCGGAAAGAUCUGGUUCUUCCUAGAAAACUUUCACCUUCUGAGCCUUAGGGUCCUGUUCUGUAAGUCAGGAUGGAAAAUACCGGCACCUCUUUCAAUCUGUAACCCUGACCCAUCCUGGACCCAUGUGGUCCACUCUAUGGAGCCGCAUUCAAAAGUCAAGUCCAGAUAAAUCAGCCAAGAGUCACAAAAAGGAACGCUGAGACUGAAUCUGUCUCUUGAAAAACUGAAGGAGAUGAAACGUAAAACCUAGGCCAAUACGGCAUCCCAUCUUCCUCCUCUCCAUUAUUUUCCCGCACCCCAUGAUUUUCUGGGGCCUCUGAUAUACUCAUUGCCACUGGUGUCGCCCCCAUGAACUCACACCAAAGACGGUUUUCAUUCCCCCCGCCCAUCACCCCAAGUCUUUCCCGUCAUCUCUCCCUUCUCCUCUCUCUGCUCCUUCUUUCUCCUUCUCUCUAGUUCUUUCAUCUACCCACCUGCCCACCUUUCUUUCCUCCUUCCAGCACCUGGUCUUACUAUUCUUUGCCCAUUCACCCAUUGCACAUCAAGAAUUAGAAAGAGAUCAGCUCUUCUCAUAGGCCCAGCAGAGCAGAGGAGGCCAGGGCAGCCCAGCAUUCCCCAGGGAGCGGGAGGGGAAAGACCAGGAACAUUCACUUGCCAGCCAUUGGAGACCCUACGAGGACAGGAAGAAACGCGUGACAAGUUGUCGGGGGUGAGUGUACAGUGAAGAGUAAACAUGCAGUUGAUGUUGACGAUGGUGACAGUGACUACUGGCUGAACUUCAUUAACGAUGAGACGCACCCAGUCCACUGAGGCGUCUCUGGAACCAUAACCAGCCUCCUUCCUAGUUACUGUCAACCAAAGCCGCCCUGUCCUAGUGCUGUGAGCAGGACACGCUGCCUGAAUAGCACGAUGAAAUAUCUGUGCAAAACCCAACAUGUCUGAAGCAAGAACCCUACCCGCUCCAGAGGAUGAAUGCUCCUUUGAGCCUCAGAGUCUGUGGUUUUAGUUUGUACCCAGAGAAUUGUUUAAUUUUUAAAAGACCAUGAAAUGAUCUCACAAAAUCCACCCUAUAUCAAGCCCCAAAGCAAACCACAGCGAUCCACACCCGUGUCUUACAUUUGCAUGGAGUCUGGGCUCUAAGUGGACUCUUCUGAUCAGCUGCACAUUAUUUACUUUUGAAAGAUUAAUGACUUCAUUCUUUUGCGAAAGAUGAUGCAUGCUCAUUGCAAAAAAUCUAAACUGUACUGAAAAGCACAAAGAAGAGGAUAAGUUUUAAAAGGCCUCAAAAAUCCCACAACCCAGAAAUAGCCACCAUUAAUAUUUGGUGAACAUCAUUCCAGCGAAGUCUCAUUUAAACUUGCAAAAUACAACCAGCCCUGAGGUUCAAGUGAUUCUCCUGCCUCAGCCUCCCAAGAAGCUGGGAUUACAGGUGUGCACCACCAUGCCCAGCUAAUUUUUGUAUUUUUAGUAGAGAUGGGCUUCACCAUGUUGGCCAGGCUGGUCUUGAACUCCUGAUCUCACGUGAUCCACCCGCCUCGGCCUCCCAAAGUGCUGGGAUUACAGGCGGCAGCCACUGCGCCUGGCCAACUCUUCAGGGCUUCUGACUGCCGUGUGCCCAGGCCAAAGUGAUCCCACAGCCAGAAAAAAGCAUGCGCUCUGCAGGGUCACAGGUGUUCAUGGUGCACAGCUGGCAGCCCUCACGCGAUGCUGAGGGGGUGGCCAGCUGCAGCUUCUGCCAGAGGAUUGUUGGUGUUCUCUGUGCACAGAAGCCUAUCAUGGCCCCGAGAGGUCAAGAGACUUGCCCAGAGUCAAGCAGCUAGAAAGGGACAAUUCAGGAAUGAAAACUGGCUCUGGCCACUGCAAAGCUCUUUCCAUCACAUCAGUGAGGGCCACGAUGGUCGGGUGAAGAGGAUAUCAGAUUUGCCAAGAGAUCCUGAAGAAGUGUCAAGAAUGCUUGGUGACACAAGGACAAGAUCCAGAAACAAGAUCCACAAGGCUCUGAGAGUGGAGGCCAGAAAACAGUUUGCCAAGGUCUGGCUUUAAAAGUCAAAUUCCAGCCUAGGAGUAAGCAUGCAAAGAAGAUGCUCAACGUCAUUAGCCCUCGGGAAAACGCAAGCUAAAACCAUAAAGAGAUACGACUUCGUCCUACGAGGAUGGCUGUAAUAGAAAAUGACAGACAACGCCAAGUGUUGGCAAAGGUGUGGAGAAACUGGGAAUCUUGUGUGUUGCUGGUGGGAAGGUAAACUGGUACAGCCACCUUGGAAAAUUGUUUGAAAGUUUCUUAAAACAUUAUACAUAAAUUUAUCAUAUGACCCAGCAAUUCUGUUCCUAGAAAUCUACCCAAGAGAAAGAGAAACAAACUCCAAAGACAUGCCCAAGAAUGUCCAUAGCAGCAUUCUUCACAGAAACAACUUAAAUUCAUCAACUGAUGAAUGGAUAAACAAGAUGUGGUAUAGCCAUUCAACCAAACAGUAUUUGGCAAUAAAAAGGAUUGAAUUACCCACAUGCUACAAGACGGAUGCAACUCAUAACCACUACACUAAGGGAAAGAAGCCAGAUAAGAAAGACAUAGUGUAUGAUUUCUCUUAUGUGAAAUGUCUAGAAAGGCAAUUUCACAGAGACAGAAAGUGGAACAUUCAUUGCCUGGGGCACAGAACAGGAAUGAGACUGCAAACAAGCAUGAGGGCAUCUUUCAAGAUGGUGGAAAUGCUCUAAAACUGAAUUGUGGUGAUGACUGUACAACUUUAUAAAUUUACUAAGAUCACUGAAUUGUGUACUCACAGUGGGUGAAUUUUAUGGUAUGUGGAUUCCAUUUCAAUAAUGCUAUUUUUUAAAAAUGCUAUCCUAGGGAGGUAGUCAUCAGACAAAACCAAAGGUAGUAUGGCUCAGUGGCGAAGCGUAUAGGCUUCACGAGCAGACUCCAGAUCAAAUCUAAGCUCUACUUCAUCCAUCCACCCAUCCAUCAUCUACUCACCCACCUACCAUUCACCCACACAUCCAUCCAUCUGCCC
rnacentral:lncRNA from 1 species